rnacentral:misc_RNA from 1 species
GACACCACUCGCCGCCCCCCCCCGUUGCUCGCGCGACGGGAGGUUGCGCGCGGACUCUGCGUGUUCCGGACGAACGUCCGAGUGCACCGAACUUCGUGAACGAAACUUCUACUGCCCUUGCUGCACAGAGUUGUUGACGGCGUCCGCUUCGGCGGCGACUCUCGACUCGUUUAUUGCUCCAGGUCUAUCGGUAGGGGUGAUUCCGGUUGCUGCGCCCCCGCCGCUUGUUAAAGUGGCGCGGAGGUCCCCCAAACUACUUUCG